UACGAAGGGGGCUAGCGUUGUUCGGAUUUACUGGGCGUAAAGCGCACGUAGGCGGCUUGUUAAGUCAGAGGUGAAAGCCUGGAGCUCAACUCCAGAACUGCCUUUGAUACUGGCAAGCUCGAGUGUGGAAGAGGUUGGUGGAACUGCGAGUGUAGAGGUGAAAUUCGUAGAUAUUCGCAAGAACACCAGUGGCGAAGGCGGCCAACUGGUCCAUUACUGACGCUGAGGUGCGAAAGCGUGGGGAGCAAACAGG
rnacentral:rRNA from 1 species